rnacentral:rRNA from 1 species
GACGAACGCUGGCGGCGUGCUUAACACAUGCAAGUCGAGCGGUAAGGCCCUUUCGGGGUACGACGAGCGGCGAACGGGUGAGUAACACGUGGGUGACCUGCCCUCCAGCUCUGGGAGUAAGCCUGGGAAACCGGGUCUAAUACUGGAUAUGACUCCAUGACGCAUGUUGUGGGGUGGAAAGCCUUGUGCGGCUGAGGAUGGGCCCGCGGCCUAUCAGCUUGUUGGUGGGGUGANGGCCUACCAAGGCGACGACGGGUAGCCGGCCUGAGAGGGCGACCGGCCACACUGGGACUGAGACACGGGCCCAGACUCCUACGGGAGGCAGCAGUGGGGAAUCUUGCGCAAUGGGCGAAAGCCUGACGCAGCGACGCCGCGUGAGGGAUGACGGCCU